GAGGAAUAUUGGUCAAUGGGCGAGAGCCUGAACCAGCCAAGUAGCGUGCAGGAUGACGGCCCUAUGGGUUGUAAACUGCUUUUGUAUGGGGAUAAAGUCAAUCACGUGUGAUUGUUUGCAGGUACCAUACGAAUAAGGACCGGCUAAUUCCGUGCCAGCAGCCGCGGUAAUACGGAAGGUCCAGGCGUUAUCCGGAUUUAUUGGGUUUAAAGGGAGCGUAGGCUGGAGAUUAAGUGUGUUGUGAAAUGUAGACGCUCAACGUCUGAAUUGCAGCGCAUACUGGUUUCCUUGAGUACGCACAACGUUGGCGGAAUUCGUCGUGUAGCGGUGAAAUGCUUAGAUAUGACGAAGAACUCCGAUUGCGAAGGCAGCUGACGGGAGCGCAACUGACGCUUAAGCUCGAAGGUGCGGGUAUCAAACAGGAUUAGAUACCCUGGUAGUCCGCACAGUAAACGAUGGAUGCCCGCUGUUGGUACCUGGUAUCAGCGGCUAAGCGAAAGCAUUAAGCAUCCCACCUGGGGAGUACGCCGGCAACGGUG
rnacentral:rRNA from 1 species